rnacentral:miRNA from 1 species
UUUGGGAGUCUGCGGUUGGGAG